rnacentral:rRNA from 1 species
AGUGAACGCUGGCGGUAGGCCUAACACAUGCAAGUCGAACGGCAGCACAGAGGAGCUUGCUCCUUGGGUGGCGAGUGGCGGACGGGUGAGGAAUACAUCGGAAUCCACUCGGUCGUGGGGGAUAAUGUAGGAAAACUUACGCUAAUACCGCAUUCGACCUCCGGGUGAAAGCAGGGGAUCUUCGGACCGUGCGCGGUGGAAUGAGCCGAUGUGGGAUGAGCUAGUUGGCGGGGUAAAGGCCCACCAAGGCGACGAUCCGUAGGUGGUCUGAGAGGAUGAUCAGCCACACUGGAAGUGAGACACGGUCCAGACUCCUACGGGAGGCAGCAGUGGGGAAUAUUGGACAAUGGGCGCAAGCCUGAUCCAGCCAUACCGCGUGGGUGAAGAAGGCCUUCGGGUUGUAAAGCCCUUUUGUUGGGAAAGAAAUCCAUCUGGUUAAUACCCGGGUGGGAUGACGGUACCCAAAGAAUAAGCACCGGCUAACUUCGUGCCAGCCGCCGCUGUAA